AUUCCAGUAGCCGCAAUAGCCUACCGGAUGCCUCCAGGAAGCUUGCAGUUGGGUUAUGAAAAGAAACAGUUCUACCCUGCUGCUAUUCCCCGGUAACAGGUAUUCAGAGCAGUGCCAGAUUUACGUAUAAGCUAAACAAGCUAUAGUUUAGGGCCCCACUCUAUUGGGGGCCCCCAAAAAAAUUUAAAGCAAAAAACAACAACUGGAUGUACAUUUCCAAAAUAUAAGAUAAAAAACAAAUAAAAUGGCUUUAGAUACCUAUUAGGUCCAUAAAUUACCAUUUGGCAUAUAUUAAACACAAAAAACAGCGACAAUUUGCUGUUGACAAAGGACAGCUGGACAUCUAAAGGGCCCCAUUACCUUCAGUAGCUUAGGACCUCAUCAAACCUAAAGCAGGGCCUUAUUCAGAGGCAUACUGUACUGACAUCUGUAUGGGAAUUGUUUUUAAUUGUUUUAUCUCUUGUGCAUGUGCCACCUGGGCUUCUUUGGGAGGAAGGGUGGAAUGAAUCAACAACAACAACAACAACAGUUGUUGUUGUUGGCACCUGACCAUCUCAAGAGACAAUGGAGUGCAUUCGCAGCACUGAAGAGACCUCCCAGGGGUGCAAGCCUGGGCAAUGUGUUUGGAGGUCCUGGGCUGCCCUCUCAGCCUCAUCGUCCAAAGGAAAGGAGUACAAUAUGUUUAGUGCCACCUUUGCUACAGGAGUUGCCAGAAGGAGGCAUACAAGGCACAAUCCAACCGUCUUAGGGACUCCACUCCAAAUUUGUGUAGGCUUUGCUUGUUAGCCUUUUCUUCUCCUAAAGAUAUCCAACAAGGCAGCAGAGGUUUAGGGUCAGUUUUCCUUCUACAUGGGCUACCUUCAGGUUGACGAUACCCAUCUGCCCAUCACUUGCCUCUACAGCACAAGUAGAAACUGCCUUCUUGACCAUUGGACCACCUAUUGGUCACAUCCGCUCAGUCCACCAUUGCCUGUCUUCACAUGCAGGAGAAGUCCCUAACUCAUAAAAAUAGGAAUAAUCAAUCAAGUAUGUAUGUAUGUAUGUAUGUAUGUAUGUAUUGAUGCUUUUGAAUUAUGGUGCUGGAGGAGACUCUUGAGAGUCCCAUGGACUGCAAGAAGAUCAAACCUAUCCAUUCUUAAGAAAAUCAGCCCUGAGUGCUCACUGGAAGGACAGAUCCUGAAGCUGAGGCUCCAAUACUUUGGCUACCUCAUGAGAAGAGAAGACUCCCUGGAAAAGACCCUGAUGUUGGGAAAGAUGGAGGGCACAAGGAGAAGGGGAUGACAGAGGACGAGAUGGUUGGACAGUGUUCUCGAAGCUACCAGCAUGAGUUUGACCAAACUACGGGAGGCAGUGGAAGACAGGAGUGCCUGGUGUGCUCUGGUCCAUGGGGUCACGAAGAGUCGGACACGACUAAAUGACUAAACAACAACAAUGUAUGUAUGCAUGCAUGCAUGUAUGUAUGUAUGUAUGUAUUAAAUCUGUAUACCGCCCUUCAUCCAAAGAUCACAGGGUGGUUUACAGCAAAUGAUGAUGUUCCAUAUAGCCAUCCUGACUUAACAGCCAUUGAUAACAAAUUGCAUUCUCUUAAAUGGCAUUGUAAUUUCUACGCCAUGUUGGAGGCACUGUGCCUCUGAAUAGCAGUUGUCGGGCAGUAAGAGUGGGAGAGGGCUAUUGCAUUCAUGUUCUAGCCUGCAGGCUUCCCAUAGGCAUCUGGCUGGCUGCUAGGAAAACAGGACGCAGAAUUAGAUGGGCCUUUGGCCUGAUCUACCAGACCUGCGGCUUUACUGAAAUUUCUCCAAAUCCAAUGGAAGCAAGGGAGGGAAUCUGAGGGCCAUGUUGCGUUUCAGGGGUCAGACUGUGCAAUGGCUUUACCCAUACAGAUUUAGUGACCAUGGCUCUGAGUUAGCAUAAUUACAACCAUCUAUCCCUACAUUGAUAGCAUCCUGUUUGGCAUUAUGAACGUUAGGUUAUGUAACUUGCUGGUGUUACUUGUGGUUGGAUGAUUACAUGUCACAUGUUCCCUUUUAGCCAGAACUUCUGAAGCAAAUUAAACAGCCACAUGGCCAACAUAAACCAUGCUAGAACCUUAGUCGCUUCAUUGACUUUUCUUUCCUUCUUUCAGCGCAGUUCCCACCAUGUGCUUCCUGGAUGAAUAAUAUUAUACUCCAAUUUAAUUCAUAAAUGUUGAAGGCACCACUUGUUUCAGCUGUAAGAUCUGAUUGGAGAAGACGGAAUGCAAGCUUAACUGCUGAGUGCUUGGCAAUUUGUAAAAGACCAAAUCUUAAAAACUCAGCUACAUGGAAAUUAAUCCCUUUGAUCGUAGGGGAGCUUAAUUGUAAGAGAGAAUGCUUAGGACUGCAGCUCAGAACCAUCUAUUUAUGAGUGAAGCCUGGAAUGUAUUGUAAUAAUUAUCCAACAACUGCUCCAACCAAUAGGUAACACUGUUUCAUGUCCUUUGUGCUUAACUAAAGUUCUGUGUCUCGCCUUGCUAUUGUUCUGUCUUGUGGUUUUCUCUUGGAGAUGUUCCUGGAAUGAUUAGAUCUACGCUGGAGACUGAGUUUGCAGAUCUCUAAUAAAAGUUGUUCUUCUAAACAAGUUUUGCAAUAUCUCUGACAAAGAUCAUGUGUUUUGCGAUCAGCAACUGAAAAUGUUUUGCUGAGCCUUUCUAAUAUACCAGUACAUAUUUAUUUACUGCAACAUAAUAC
rnacentral:lncRNA from 1 species